AUUUUGGACAAUGGGCGCAAGCCUGAUCCAGCCAUGCCGCGUGUCUGAAGAAGGCCUUCGGGUUGUAAAGGACUUUUGUUAGGGAAGAAAAAGGAGCGGUUAAUACCCGUUUCUGCUGACGGUACCUAAAGAAUAAGCACCGGCUAACUACGUGCCAGCAGCCGCGGUAAUACGUAGGGUGCGAGCGUUAAUCGGAAUUACUGGGCGUAAAGCGAGCGCAGACGGUUACUUAAGCAGGAUGUGAAAUCCCCGGGCUCAACCUGGGAACUGCGUUCUGAACUGGGUAGCUAGAGUAUGUCAGAGGGGGGUAGAAUUCCACGUGUAGCAGUGAAAUGCGUAGAGAUGUGGAGGAAUACCGAUGGCGAAGGCAGCCCCCUGGGAUAAUACUGACGUUCAUGCUCGAAAGCGUGGGUAGCAAAC
rnacentral:rRNA from 1 species